ACUUUGUGUGUGAGAGGAAUCCUCAACUAAAUCAGAUAUGCCGAAAUCAAACUAGGAUGUGGAAAGCUAUCUUCAGCUCACCUGGAAUUCUACCAUCUUCACCGCCCUGGUCACCUUGGAGUUAAAGAAUGUAAUCAAUACAAUGCAAGCAUUUCCAUUUGAUGAGAUUCUCAGAUUGGCUACAUAUAUGUAACUCCUGGGAUCUGCAUUGUGAUGUCAUGACAGAUGUUUUGUCACUUGCUCUCUCUCCAUGGUGCCAGUGAUUAGAGUGUCGACUGUCCCCAAACUUGAAAGGACAUUCAAGAACCAACUAGUAUCCUCCCCAAUUUUGGAACAAGACCUGUAGGUUAUUUUGCUGUGGUUCCUGGCAUCUUCAUAUUCAAAAUGGAAUAAUGUGGUAAAGACAGAAGAAUUCUUCCUUGUGCCAUCCAACAUCCCUCUGUUUUAUUUUGUUUAAUGUCUGUGCUGAAUCUAUAAACAUCCUAAAUCAACUAUG